rnacentral:rRNA from 1 species
AUUGAACGCUGGCGGCAGGCCUAACACAUGCAAGUCGAACGGUAACAGGAAGCAGCUUGCUGCUUCGCUGACGAGUGGCGGACGGGUGAGUAAUGUCUGGGAAGCUGCCUGAUGGAGGGGGAUAACUACUGGAAACGAUAGCUAAUACCGCAUAAUGUCGCAAGACCAAAGAGGGGGACCUUCGGGCCUCUUGCCAUCGGAUGUGCCCAGAUGGGAUUAGCUUGUUGGUGGGGUAACGGCUCACCAAGGCGACGAUCCCUAGCUGGUCUGAGAGGAUGACCAGCCACACUGGAACUGAGACACGGUCCAGACUCCUACGGGAGGCAGCAGUGGGGAAUAUUGCACAAUGGGCGCAAGCCUGAUGCAGCCAUGCCGCGUGUAUGAAGAAGGCCUUCGGGUUGUAAAGUACUUUCAGCGGGGAGGAAGGGAGUAAAGUUAAUACCUUUGCUCAUUGACGUUACCCGCAGAAGAAGCACCGGCUAACUCCGUG